CCUACGGGUGGCUGCAGUCGAGAAUCAUUCACAAUGGGGGAAACCCUGAUGGUGCGACGCCGCGUGGGGGAAUGAAGGUCUUCGGAUUGUAAACCCCUGUCAUGUCGGAGCAAAUUAAAAAGAUAGUACCACAAGAGGAAGAGACGGCUAACUCUGUGCCAACAGCCGCGGUAAUACAGAGGUCUCAAGCGUUGUUCGGAAUCACUGGGCGUAAGGCGUGCGUAGGCUGUUUCGUAAGUCGUGUGUGAAAGGCGCGGGCUCAACCCGAGGACGGCACAUGAUACUGCGAGGCUAGAGUAAUGGAGGGGGAGCCGGAAUUCUCGGUGUAGCAGUGAAAUGCGUAGAUAUCGAGAGGAACACUCGUGGCGAAGGCGGGUUCCUGGACAUUAACUGACGCUGAGGCACGAAGGCCAGGGGAGCGAAAGGGAUUAGAUACCCGAGUAGUC
rnacentral:rRNA from 1 species